GAUGAACGCUGGCGGCGUGCCUAAUACAUGCGAGUCGAGCGAACAGAUGAGGAGCUUGCUCCUCUGACGUUAGCGGCGGACGGGUGAGUAACACGUGGAUAACCUACCUAUAAGACUGGGAUAACUUCGGGAAACCGGAGCUAAUACCGGAUAAUAUAUUGAACCGCAUGGUUCAAUAGUGAAAGACGGUUUUGCUGUCACUUAUAGAUGGAUCCGCGCCGCAUUAGCUAGUUGGUAAGGUAACGGCUUACCAAGGCAACGAUGCGUAGCCGACCUGAGAGGGUGAUCGGCCACACUGGAACUGAGACACGGUCCAGACUCCUACGGGAGGCAGCAGUAGGGAAUCUUCCGCAAUGGGCGAAAGCCUGACGGAGCAACGCCGCGUGAGUGAUGAAGGUCUUCGGAUCGUAAAACUCUGUUAUUAGGGAAGAACAAAUGUGUAAGUAACUAUGCACGUCUUGACGGUACCUAAUCAGAAAGCCACGGCUAACUACGU
rnacentral:rRNA from 1 species